rnacentral:rRNA from 1 species
AUGAACGCUAGCUACAGGCUUAACACAUGCAAGUCGAGGGGCAGCAUCAUCAAAGCUUGCUUUGAUGGAUGGCGACCGGCGCACGGGUGAGUAACACGUAUCCAACCUGCCGACAACACUGGGAUAGCCUUUCGAAAGAAAGAUUAAUACCGGAUGGCAUAGUUUUCCCGCAUGGGAUAAUUAUUAAAGAAUUUCGGUUGUCGAUGGGGAUGCGUUCCAUUAGGCAGUUGGCGGGGUAACGGCCCACCAAACCAACGAUGGAUAGGGGUUCUGAGAGGAAGGUCCCCCACAUUGGAACUGAGACACGGUCCAAACUCCUACGGGAGGCAGCAGUGAGGAAUAUUGGUCAAUGGACGAGAGUCUGAACCAGCCAAGUAGCGUGAAGGAUGACUGCCCUAUGGGUUGUAAACUUCUUUUAUACGGGAAUAAAGUGAGCCACGUGUGGCUUUUUGUAUGUACCGUAUGAAUAAGGAUCGGCUAACUCCGUGCCAGCAGCCGCGGUAAUACGGAGGAUCCGAGCGUUAUCCGGAUUUAUUGGGUUUAAAGGGAGCGUAGGCGGGUUGUUAAGUCAGUUGUGAAAGUUUGCGGCUCAACCGUAAAAUUGCAGUUGAUACUGGCGACCUUGAGUGCAACAGAGGUAGGCGGAAUUCGUGGUGUAGCGGUGAAAUGCUUAGAUAUCACGAAGAACUCCGAUUGCGAAGGCAGCUUACUGGAUUGUAACUGACGCUGAUGCGCGAAAGUGUGGGUAUCCAACAGGAUUAGAUACACUGGUCGUCCACACAGUAAACGAUGAAUACUCGCUGUUGGCGAUAUACAGUCAGCGGCCAAGCGAAAGCAUUAAGUAUUCCACCUGGGGAGUACGCCGGCAACGGUGAAACUCAAAGGAAUUGACGGGGGCCCGCACAAGCGGAGGAACAUGUGGUUUAAUUCGAUGAUACGCGAGGAACCUUACCCGGGCUUAAAUUGCAACUGACGGAACCGGAAACGGUUCUUUCUUCGGACAGUUGUGAAGGUGCUGCAUGGUUGUCGUCAGCUCGUGCCGUGAGGUGUCGGCUUAAGUGCCAUAACGAGCGCAACCCUUACGGGUAGUUACCAUCAGGUUAUGCUGGGGACUCUACCCGGACUGCCGUCGUAAGAUGUGAGGAAGGUGGGGAUGACGUCAAAUCAGCACGGCCCUUACGUCCGGGGCUACACACGUGUUACAAUGGGGGGUACAGAAGGCAGCUACACGGCGACGUGGUGCUAAUCCCAAAAGCCUCUCUCAGUUCGGAUUGGAGUCUGCAACCCGACUCCAUGAAGCUGGAUUCGCUAGUAAUCGCGCAUCAGCCACGGCGCGGUGAAUACGUUCCCGGGCCUUGUACACACCGCCCGUCAAGCCAUGAAAGCCGGGGGUACCUGAAGUACGUAACCGCGAGGAGCGUCCUAGGGUAAAACUGGUGAUUGGGGCU